rnacentral:rRNA from 1 species
UGGGGAAUAUUGGACAAUGGGCGCAAGCCUGAUCCAGCCAUGCCGCGUGAGUGAUGAAGGCCCUAGGGUUGUAAAGCUCUUUCACCGGAGAAGAUAAUGACGGUAUCCGGAGAAGAAGCCCCGGCUAACUUCGUGCCAGCAGCCGCGGUAAUACGAAGGGGGCUAGCGUUGUUCGGAAUUACUGGGCGUAAAGCGCACGUAGGCGGACAUUUAAGUCAGGGGUGAAAUCCCGGGGCUCAACCCCGGAACUGCCUUUGAUACUGGGUGUCUUGAGUGUGGAAGAGGUCAGUGGAAUUGCGAGUGUAGAGGUGAAAUUCGUAGAUAUUCGCAGGAACACCAGUGGCGAAGGCGGCUGACUGGUCCAUUACUGACGCUGAGGUGCGAA